rnacentral:lncRNA from 1 species
CUAAAUCUAAACUUAAAACAUCAACUUUAAACCUUAAAUCAUCAACUCUAAACCCUAAACCAUGAAACAUCAACUCUAAACCCUAAACUCCGAAACAUCAACUCUAAACGCUAAACUCUAAACCCUAAACCCUAAACCUUCAAAUCAAAACCCUAAAACAUCAACUCUAAACCCUAAACGUAAACCCUAAACGUAAACCCUAAACCCUAAACCUUAUAUUUUUCUGAAAUUCGAACCCUAAACCCUAAAACCCUAAACCUUCAAAUCUAAACCCUAAAACAUCAACUCUAAACCCUAAACGUAAACCCUAAACCUUAAAUCU